CGGACUGAGUAGGAUAAAGUCAAUCUGAAAUAGUUUUUGCAAAACCUAGUAAGUUUUGUUGUAAAGCUAAACUACCUUGUCUAUUUAAAUGAAGACCCCUCAUAUUUAAGUGACUUGCAUUCAUAUCAACCUCGUACCCAGGGCUAGUCGCGAAUUGAAGGCGGCGACAUAGCCCCGGUAAACGCUGGUCACGUGACUCCAAAAUUACGUAAUUG